UGGGGAAUUUUGGACAAUGGGCGAAAGCCUGAUCCAGCAAUGCCGCGUGUGUGAAGAAGGCCUUCGGGUUGUAAAGCACUUUUGUCCGGAAAGAAAUCCUUGGCUCUAAUACAGUCGGGGGAUGACGGUACCGGAAGAAUAAGCACCGGCUAACUACGUGCCAGCAGCCGCGGUAAUACGUAGGGUGCAAGCGUUAAUCGGAAUUACUGGGCGUAAAGCGUGCGCAGGCGGUUUGCUAAGACCGAUGUGAAAUCCCCGGGCUCAACCUGGGAACUGCAUUGGUGACUGGCAGGCUAGAGUAUGGCAGAGGGGGGUUAGAAUUCCACGUGUAGCAGUGAAAUGCGUAGAGAUGUGGAGGAAUACCGAUGGCGAAGGCAGCCCCCUGGGCCAAUACUGACGCUCAUGCACGAAAGCGUGGGGAGCAAAACAGGAUUAGAUACCCUGGUAGUCCACGCCCUAAACGAUGUCAACUAGUUGUUGGGGAUUCAUUUCCUUAGUAACGUAGCUAACGCGUGAAGUUGACCGCC
rnacentral:rRNA from 1 species